rnacentral:tRNA from 1 species
AGGGGUAUAGCUCAGUGGUAGAGUGCAUGCUUAGCACGCAUGAGGCCCUGGGCUCAAUCCCCAGCAUCUCCC